rnacentral:rRNA from 1 species
GGGAGUGCGGUGCUAAUACAUGCAAGUCGAGCGAAUGGAUUAAGAGCUUGCUCUUAUGAAGUUAGCGGCGGACGGGUGAGUAACACGUGGGUAACCUGCCCAUAAGACUGGGAUAACUCCGGGAAACCGGGGCUAAUACCGGAUAACAUUUUGAACCGCAUGGUUCGAAAUUGAAAGGCGGCUUCGGCUGUCACUUAUGGAUGGACCCGCGUCGCAUUAGCUAGUUGGUGAGGUAACGGCUCACCAAGGCAACGAUGCGUAGCCGACCUGAGAGGGUGAUCGGCCACACUGGGACUGAGACACGGCCCAGACUCCUACGGGAGGCAGCAGUAGGGAAUCUUCCGCAAUGGACGAAAGUCUGACGGAGCAACGCCGCGUGAGUGAUGAAGGCUUUCGGGUCGUAAAACUCUGUUGUUAGGGAAGAACAAGUGCUAGUUGAAUAAGCUGGCACCUUGACGGUACCUAACCAGAAAGCCACGGCUAACUACGUGCCAGCAGCCGCGGUAAUACGUAGGUGGCAAGCGUUAUCCGGAAUUAUUGGGCGUAAAGCGCGCGCAGGUGGUUUCUUAAGUCUGAUGUGAAAGCCCACGGCUCAACCGUGGAGGGUCAUUGGAAACUGGGAGACUUGAGUGCAGAAGAGGAAAGUGGAAUUCCAUGUGUAGCGGUGAAAUGCGUAGAGAUAUGGAGGAACACCAGUGGCGAAGGCGACUUUCUGGUCUGUAACUGACACUGAGGCGCGAAAGCGUGGGGAGCAAACAGGAUUAGAUACCUGGGUAGUCA